CUCAGGAAGUCGUAACAAGGGUAUCCGUGAAUAGUUUGAUCCUGACUCGUGAGUAACACGUGGGUAACCUGCCUGUAAGACUGGGAUAACUCCGGGAAACCGGGGCUAAUACCGGAUGCUUGUUUGAACCGCAUGGUUCAGACAUAAAAGGUGGCUUCGGCUACCACUUACAGAUGGACCCGCGGCGCAUUAGCUAGUUGGUGAGGUAACGGCUCACCAAGGCGACGAUGCGUAGCCGACCUGAGAGGGUGAUCGGCCACACUGGGACUGAGACACGGCCCAGACUCCUACGGGAGGCAGCAGUAGGGAAUCUUCCGCAAUGGACGAAAGUCUGACGGAGCAACGCCGCGUGAGUGAUGAAGGUUUUCGGAUCGUAAAGCUCUGUUGUUAGGGAAGAACAAGUGCCGUUCAAAUAGGGCGGCACCUUGACGGUACCUAACCAGAAAGCCACGGCUAACUACGUGCCAGCAGCCGCGGUAAUACGUAGGUGGCAAGCGUUGUCCGGAAUUAUUGGGCGUAAAGGGCUCGCAGGCGGUUUCUUAAGUCUGAUGUGAAAGCCCCCGGCUCAACCGGGGAGGGUCAUUGGAAACUGGGGAACUUGAGUGCAGAAGAGGAGAGUGGAAUUCCACGUGUAGCGGUGAAAUGCGUAGAGAUGUGGAGGAACACCAGUGGCGAAGGCGACUCUCUGGUCUGUAACUGACGCUGAGGAGCGAAAGCGUGGGGAGCGAACAGGAUUAGAUACCCUGGUAGUCCACGCUGUAAACGAUGAGUGCUAAGUGUUAGGGGGUUUCCGCCCCUUAGUGCUGCAGCUAACGCAUUAAGCACUCCGCCUGGGGAGUACGGUCGCAAGACUGAAACUCAAAGGAAUUGACGGGGGCCCGCACAAGCGGUGGAGCAUGUGGUUUAAUUCGAAGCAACGCGAAGAACCUUACCAGGUCUUGACAUCCUCUGACAAUCCUAGAGAUAGGACGUCCCCUUCGGGGGCAGAGUGACAGGUGGUGCAUGGUUGUCGUCAGCUCGUGUCGUGAGAUGUUGGGUUAAGUCCCGCAACGAGCGCAACCCUUGAUCUUAGUUGCCAGCAUUCAGUUGGGCACUCUAAGGUGACUGCCGGUGACAAACCGGAGGAAGGUGGGGAUGACGUCAAAUCAUCAUGCCCCUUAUGACCUGGGCUACACACGUGCUACAAUGGGCAGAACAAAGGGCAGCGAAACCGCGAGGUUAAGCCAAUCCCACAAAUCUGUUCUCAGUCAUGCCGCGGUGAAUACGUUCCCGGGCCUUGUACA
rnacentral:rRNA from 1 species